UAACCAGACUCCUACGGGAGGCAGCAGUGGGGAAUAUUGCACAAUGGGGGAAACCCUGAUGCAGCAACGCCGCGUGAGUGAAGAAGUAUUUCGGUAUGUAAAGCUCUAUCAGCAGGGAAGAAGAAAGACGGUACCUGACUAAGAAGCCCCGGCUAACUACGUGCCAGCAGCCGCGGUAAUACGUAGGGGGCAAGCGUUAUCCGGAUUUACUGGGUGUAAAGGGAGCGUAGACGGCAUAGCAAGUCUGAAGUGAAAGCCCGUGGCUCAACCGCGGAACUGCCCUUGGAACUGCAUGGCUGGAGUGCGGGAGGGGCAGGCGGAAUUCCUGGUGUAGCGGUGAAAUGCGUAGAUAUCAGGAGGAACACCGGCGGCGAAGGCGGCCUUCUGGACCGCGACUGACGUUGAGGCUCGAAAGCGUGGGUAUCGAACAGGAUUAGAUACCCUAGUA
rnacentral:rRNA from 1 species